AACUGGUUCUGGUGGCAUUAUGCAUAUAGUAAAUGGAUACACACAUGUAUUUAUAAUCAAAUAAGGUAUUAUAUUCUAUAUCUUGUUGGCAGUCAAUAUGUCAUUCUCUAAUUGCUGUAGACCAAAUGCCAUCUAUCCCAUUUAUAUAUGAGGACUGGCUGAUUACCCCAUAUUUGCAAGGUUACUGGUAAAUCUAAUUUACGUCCUAAUAGCUUUAUCUCUACAACUGGUUACGCUAUGGAUCUCAUGAUAUUCUGAAUACAAAAAUAGAUCAGUCAUUACAAUAUUCAAUAUUUUAUAUUGUUCACUAUUACCCACACCUAUGGCACUAUGGAUACAAUAAUAAUUGUCAUGCCAAAGCAUGAGUUGGCAUUUGAUAUAUGUUAUGAGUUGUUUUCGUACAUGUUGGGAUAACAUUUAUUGUAGGCUUUGAUCAAACGCCAGGCCUAAGCCAUGAAAUGUAACGACUAGAUAACCAUCACCAGAGCUGGACAUAGGGUGUCAUAAAACGUAUUGGUGCAUAUGCUAUGACUUUGGUUUAUUCAAAGAACAUAAUUUAAGAAAAUAUGGAGUGGACAAUAAACUGCCAGGCCAAACCCCUCUGAUCCACCCAGGGGUCUGGUCACUCAGAAACAGCUAGUUUGAGCUACAUAAUGAGCAUAUUGGAUUAUCCAGUGAGAGAUUUUCUUUUUUCAACAACUACUUGGAGACCUGUAACAGUUGAAUCUCCCACAAGAAUUAUAUAUAAGGGGUAAAUAUAUGUAAGGAUUUCUUGUGUUUCCUCCAAUUUUUAUUUAUGGACUGUUUUGCAAUUUGUUAUCUAUGUUUCUGUAUGUCAUUUAUUUGUGUAUUUUUGUACACAGUACUGUGAAUCCUUCUUGUCAGAUUAAAUGUUUAGUUAAUCAGCCAAUAGCCCAUGUUCAUG